UGCAGUCGAACGGAGUAACAUGAGUAGUAAUACAAGUGUUGCUCAGCGGCGCACGGGUGCGUAACACGUGAGUUACAUGCCCUGCAGAGAGGGAUAGCCCAGGGAAACUUGGAUUAAUACCUCAUGGUCUCGCAAGAGUAAAGAUGGCCGUAAGGCUGUCGCUGCAGGAUUGGCUCGCGGCCUAUCAGCUAGUUGGUGAGGUAACGGCUCACCAAGGCUACGACGGGUACCUGGUCUGAGAGGACGAUCAGGCACACUGGAACUGAGACACGGUCCAGACACCUACGGGUGGCAGCAGUCGAGAAUCAUUCACAAUGGGGGCAACCCUGAUGGUGCAACGCCGCGUGGAGGAAGAAGGUCUUCGGAUUGUAAACUCCUGUCAUCUAGGAGCAAGGCAUGGUGGUGAAUAGCCAACAUGAUUGAUAGUACUAGAAGAGGAAGGGACGGCUAACUUCGUGCCAGCAGCCGCGGUAAUACGAAGGUCCCGAGCGUUAUUCGGAAUCACUGGGCGUAAAGGGAGCGUAGGCGGCGUGGAAAGUCAGAUGUGAAAUCCCAGAGCUUAACUCUGGAACUGCAUCCGAUACUACCAUGCUAGAGUAUUGGAGGGGUAACUGGAAUUCUCGGUGUAGCAGUGAAAUGCGUAGAUAUCGAGAGGAACACUCGUGGCGAAAGCGAGUUACUGGACAAUUACUGACGCUGAGGCUCGAAGGCUAGGGGAGCAAAAGGGAUUAGAUACCCCUGUAGUCCUAGCAGUAAACGGUGCACGCUUGGUUUGAGGGGAAUCGACCCCCUUCGAGCCGGAGCUAACGCGUUAAGCGUGCCGCCUGGGAAGUACGGUCGCAAGACUAAAACUCAAAGAAAUUGACGGGGACCCGCACAAGCGGUGGAGUAUGUGGCUUAAUUCGAUGCAA
rnacentral:rRNA from 1 species